CCUACGGGAGGCAGCAGUGAGGAAUAUUCCACAAUGGGCGCAAGCCUGAUGGAGCGACGCCGCGUGGACGACGAAGGCCUUCGGGUUGUAAAGUCCUUUUCUGGGGGACGAGAACCAGGACGGUACCCCAGGAAUAAGCCUCGGCUAACUACGUGCCAGCAGCCGCGGUAAUACGUAGGAGGCGAACGUUAUCCGGAUUUACUGGGCGUAAAGCGCGCGCAGGCGGUGCCGCAAGUUGGGCGUGAAAUCUCCCGGCUCAACCGGGAUACGUCGUUCAAUACUGCGGCACUCGAGGGCAGGAGAGGGAAGCGGAAUUCCCGGUGGAGUAGUGAAAUGCGUAGAUAUCGGGAGGAACACCAGUGGCGAAGGCGGCUUCCUGGACUGUUCCUGACGCUCAGGCGCGAAAGCCAGGGGAGCGAACCGAAUUAGAUACCCGGGUAGU
rnacentral:rRNA from 1 species